rnacentral:lncRNA from 1 species
AGCAAAUCAGUACGGUAAUUCCCAUCCAAAAUUUCACCAAAGUCUUUGAACCUCAUAGGGACUAUAGGGAUUUCAAGAAAAUGAUCAUGGUUGCACCUGUGACAACAAGUCGGUAUGAAUGAGUGGAUGCCUUCAUCACAAUAUCAUUUUUAAGGACCUUAAAGUUCACCAUCUCAUAAGUCUUGUUUUUCACCAACAUUUAUUUCCAUUCAUCAAGUUGAUCAUUUGGAACUGUAACUUGAAUAGUGUCAUUCUGCACAUGAAAUUACUACAACUCAUUAACAAUAAAUUUUAAUUAGAUUAUCUCUCAAAAUAAGUAGACUAUUUGACAGCAGAAUGACCUUCUUAUCAACCACGACCAUAUCGAAAUGCUCUUGUCUGAAUUUACCCAUAACAGAUCAAGCAUCUGCAACCCUGACAGCAAAAGUCCCAACAUCUUUCUCCUGAUUCACAUCUUUGAUGUUGUCAUAAGGACGACAAACAUCUUUCUUCUUAUCCAUGUAGCACCUAAAAGUGUAUAUGCACAAACUUAGUUAUCCAAAAUAUCUACAAUGUGACAAAGAUAGUAUAUUUAAGUGCUUAUCAUUAAAGGUAAAACAACAAAGUUUAUAUAGUUUUACCAAACAACAAUGGUUUGAACACAACCCCUAAAACAUAAACCACAAAUGAGUGCAACUUUAUAAAAUUGUUUAUUCUUAUCCAUGUUCAAGUAUAAGCAGCAAGAUGGUUGCACACAAUAUUAACAAUGUGACUAAGAGAUUAAGCUUCGGUACCAAUAAUAACAUGUAAAACAAUAUAAUUUCAGUUCUUUUACUGUGAGAACAAAUUUUUAGAUUUACAACAUGAAAAAUGAAGAACUUUAAAGAAAAUGAUGUAAAAAGCGCACAAUAUGUAUUUUCAAGGAUGUAGAACAUGAAUAUGACACUGAUUUAACAAAAGCAUGAUAAAUGGCUUCUUUUACAACUAAAAUAUCGCGAGGAAAAUUUCAAAAUCAUCACAUGCAAAAUUAUUUUCACUCUAAAAGCAUGAAAUCAGUGCUUUUGUUUUAUAGAUAAACAUAAUAUAAUGAAUAAGUUGAAGAUAGCAGCGAUUGAAAGCAACAUGCAUUCAAAACAACAUUCAAAGCUGUAAUAAUAUUGAAAACAAAGAAAAUGCAAUGAAUAAUCAAACACAUGAACCAAUUAAACAACAUGCAAGUGAUAACAGGAAAAAAUCGAAAGGAAUGGCUGAGAGAGAGUACCUAAAGCAGAGAUUUUUGUGAUGGAGAGAAGGAACUUGGUAGAGAGAAUAUAGAAAGUUUAGAGCUCUUUGAUAAGUCAAUAAAAUGUGGUUUUUAAGUGUCAAGUUUAUUAGGAUUUUAUUUGUUUGGGUUAAUAGUGCUUUACGCCCCUGUAAUAUAGGUCACUUUUGAUUUUGCCCCCUGUAAAAUAUUUUUUUUAGAUUCCGUCCUUGUAAAAUAAAGAUUCUUCAUAAAUAGACCCUGACCCAUCCAACUCAUCAGAUUGGCUGAUGUGGCGCUGAUAUGGCACGUUGACUCAACAUUCUUUGAUUACGUGGCACCGUGACUGUAUAAUUAAUUUUAUUUUUCUUUUUUUUUAUUAAAUUGGAU